UACGUAGGAAGACUAGUGUUAUUCAUCUUUAAUAGGUUUAAAAGGGUACCUAGACGGUAUAAUUAGUCUAAAAUAAGAAUACGGGUUAUACUAGAGUUAUAUAUGAGGAGGUGAGUAUUUAUGGAGUAGAGUUGAAAUUCUGAUCAUCCCAUAACGACUGGUAACGGCGAAAGCAACCUUUUAUCUAAUAACUGACGUUGAGGGACGAAGGCUCGGGUAACGAACAGG
rnacentral:rRNA from 1 species